UCCUUAGCUGAGUCAUUCAGCUUAAUCUCAUAUUCAUAAACAGUCACGAAUUUCAAUGAAAUUUAGAACGUGAAAAUUUGAGGUCAAGUAAAUAGUUGGAGCGUAGACAAUAAAGAGAGUAAAAUAGCGAUAACAGCAAGGCAAGACAGUAAUAAGAACAUGUAAAGAGAGGCUAAGUGCGGUCACAACCAAACAUAAAAUAUAAUGAUGAGCUGUGGGAAUCAAAAAAUCAUGACACGUUUCAAAUAGUCUGCGAGUUGAUAAUGAACACCAGUAUAUGCUAUGGACCAAUAUCAUCUAUUAUCAAAUCAGAUUAUACUCAUCGUAAUAGUUCUACAUAAAGAUCGAAACCUCUUGCAUACUGACAAAAUAUAUAAGGUUGUCACCUUCAAAAUAGUACCCAUUUGGUAUUUUGUACUUAUAUCAACGCUUCUUCCAAUCGUCGAAACACCUCUCAAACUCGAUUUUUGGGAACGUCUUUGGCUCUUUUAACGAUUUUUCAUAUUCUUAUAAAAAAAAUGUUGAAAUGUAUCCUUGUAAUAGAAUUCUGUUUAUAAUGAAAUCUAUAUAAUUUUAGACUCUUGUGACUUCAGUAAAUAUAUAAGUAACGGCUUAGUUAAAGUCCAUAACAUAA